CACGCUCUGGCCUAGAUUUUAAACUGAGCGGAGAUAUGCUUCGCUUCGUGCAAAAAGAAGUCAGACGUUUCAAGCGAUAAUUAACGGGCUGUCGUUUUGUGAUCCUGGUGUUACUACUAUAUGACACUGUAGUGAAUACUGCAGUCGACAAGUUUUAAGGUCGUCAUCACCGACGUUGUCAUAGACUCAAUCAACCCAAUAUCGAUCAGCUGUGCGAUGCUACUUACUCACCGUCCAAUACAGUGAUGAUGGUGACCUCCCAUACGAAAAUGCGCAAUUUGCAUCGAGCAUGUUCUGCUACUCAGAUCACUCCGAUCGCUUAUCAUGAGCAGGGCAGCUGCGUGAUCAGUUGCUUUCUCUGAUAAUCAACAACAACCGGUGUUGCUGACAAUUUUUUGAAUCGCGUACCGUCAUUUGGACAUGAGUCAAUUGAGCUUUAUUCAAGUCAAUCAAGAGCCAUCUGUUAUUUAGCAGACCCAUUUAUUUUUAACUUCUAACAGAUAUUUUAACUAAAAAUUAUCUUAAAACUCUUCCAAUAUGAAAAAUAGUGUAUAAACAUGUAAUGGCGCUAUACAUUCGUGUUUUUUGUUGUUUGUGUGGUAUGCAAUUAAACAGUGCCGCCUGCACCGAAUGCCAGCUACAUACGUUUAGACCAAGUUGAUUGUCUAUAGCGUAUGUACACUUGCUGUGUCAUUGUCAUCCAUCUUCGUUAGUCUAGAGUGCAUACCUGCCUGGAUUAGGAGCACUCAAUUACUGUCGCAUGGAUAGAAAUGCUAGCAUAAACGUUCCCCUGGAGAUACCUGAAUUGGGUCUUACUGGCAGGAAGAAAACGCGAUCGUGGGCUAUUGCUGACGGACCUUGAGAAAUACAUAUCCAGCGGUCGGAUUGCCCGAUGAC